GCAUAUCAAUAAGCGGAGGAAAAGAAAAUAACAAUGAUUCCCCUAGUAACUGCGAGUGAAGAGGGAUAAGCUCAAAUUUUAAAUCUAUCGGGUUUUACCUGAUCGAGUUGUAAUUUGAAGAGGCGUUUUCUGCGUAUUUGGUCAGCCCAAGUCCUAUUGAAUGAGGCAUCAUGGAGGGUGAUAAUCCCGUCCGGUUGAUCAUUUGCGUUUUACGAUACGCUUUCUAAGAGUCAAGUUGUUUGGGAUUGCAGCUUAAAAUGGGAGGUAAAUUUCUCCUAAGGCUAAAUAACGGCGAGAGACCGAUAGCGAACAAGUACCGUGAGGGAAAGAUGAAAAGAACUUUGAAAAGAGAGUUAAACAGUACGUGAAAUUGUUGAAAGGGAAACGAUUGAAGCCAGUCGUACCUUCGGGUAAUCAGCCUUUCGGGUGCGAUUCUGUGGAGUGUGAGGAGCUUAACACCUUCAUGCUUCGCAUAUUUGUGCUCUUGGGUGUACUUGCCCGUGUGGUUGGUUAACAUCAAUUUUGAUUAUCAUAAAAUGACUGGGGGAAUGUAGCUUCGAUCUCGUAUUGAAGUGUUAUAGCCUUCGGUAGAUGUGAUGAUCGAGAUUGAGGAUUGCAACGGAUACCCUUCGGGGCUACCUGUCUGGUCUCUGAUCGUUGCUCUGGUGCCGAAAGCGUGCUUACGGUUAUCAAAGUCGAUGGUCAAUAGGUUAGAACGGGUUAAAUUCGUUAAGGAUGUUGACGUA
rnacentral:rRNA from 1 species